UCACCACACUAGUCCAAUGCUAGUUGUGGCUCAUUAUUUCAUUAGGAAUUCAUAGAAAGGGCUAGUCCAACGCUAGACCCAAUAGGUCAUCCCCAUUCAUUAAUGCAUUAUUUGCCUGUUCACUACAUAUCAUGCAUUUUUCCUUAGUUUUAUCAUCUGGCAUGCUCCUCGAUUCCCCUUUCCCCUCACUUUAGGUCUUGCAUCUCAUGCUAGUUAGGGUACAUUUGCCUGAAGAGUCCCCUUAAAUAUGGGAUAUAGACGAGUGUGGCUUUUUCUAAGCCUUAGCACGCUUAUAUUCCCUCUAUCAAAGGAAAAAUCAAGUCACAAAGUUAAGAGUCCCCGUACCCGUUUUGCUUGCAUUCCCAUAGGAUUCAUGCAUUUCAUUCAUUCACUAUCACUUACUUUAUAUUCCAUUCCUCUUUCUACAUUCUCACUUCACACUACUUUC
rnacentral:lncRNA from 1 species